rnacentral:miRNA from 1 species
AAUAUAGAAUGUCUGCUUAAAUUUGAAUUUCAGAUAACACGACUUUUAAAAAAAAAUAUAUAAGUAUGUCCCAUGCAAUAUUUGGGACAUAAUUAUACUAAAACAUGUUUGUUGUUAAUCUGAAAUUCAAAUUAAACUGGGGCUCUUGUGCUUU